rnacentral:ncRNA from 2 species
UCAGAGGUGAAAUUCUUGGAU